rnacentral:lncRNA from 1 species
AUGGCUUCUGUUUUCCACAUACAUAAAAUUUCCACGUGCAGUGUUGAUAACUUUGAGGAUUGUAUAGAUAAUGAAAACUGCGCUAGUUGCCACAGGUCUACCUUUAGUCAAGAUGAAAAAGAAAUCACCACUAAAGAAUAUAGAUGGGAACAGAGACAAACUUUAGUCCUAGUAGACUUGACUUUAUGUAACCCACAGUUUUUCUUUACUUUAUUUGCAGCUGAAGUUGAUCCUGGAAAGAGAAUCUUUAGGGAGAGAACAUUGUUUUCUUUCUCAGAACAUCGUGUCGGGCAGUGUCUCCAACUGCUGACAUUUUGGAAACCAAAGCCAAAAGCAAUACAUCAAAUCAGCAGCUCCAGGCAGAGGACUGUUUCAAACCAAAAUGAUGUUUUAAUCUUGAAUCAAGCAAUGACUGCACAGCCUGCAAGAGGCCUGUUUUGGACAUCAGUUGUUAAUAAUCUUUCAUAA